rnacentral:rRNA from 1 species
CACAACGGGUGGAGCUUGCGGUUUAAUUGGAUUCAACGCCGGAAAUCUUACCGGGACCGACAGCAAUAUGAAGGCCAGGCUGAAGACUUUGCCGGAUUAGCUGAGAGGUGGUGCAUGGCCGUCGUCAGUUCGUACUGUGAAGCAUCCUGUUAAGUCAGGCAACGAGCGAGACCCACGCCCACAGUUGCCAGCGUACUCUCUGGAGUGACGGGUACACUGUGGGGACCGCCGCUGCUAAAGCGGAGGAAGGAAUGGGCAACGGUAGGUCAGUAUGCCCCGAAUAUCCCGGGCUACACGCGAGCUACAAUGGCUGGUACAAUGGGUAUCUACCCCGAAAGGGGACGGGAAUCUCCUAAAACCAAUCUUAGUUCGGAUUGAGGGCUGCAACUCGCCCUCAUGAAGCUGGAAUCCGUAGUAAUCGCGUUUCAACAGAACGCGGUGAAUACGUCCCUGCUCC